rnacentral:rRNA from 1 species
UAGGGAAUCUUCGGCAAUGGACGAAAGUCUGACCGAGCAACGCCGCGUGAGUGAAGAAGGUUUUCGGAUCGUAAAACUCUGUUGUUAGAGAAGAACAAGGACGUUAGUAACUGAACGUCCCCUGACGGUAUCUAACCAGAAAGCCACGGCUAACUACGUGCCAGCAGCCGCGGUAAUACGUAGGUGGCAAGCGUUGUCCGGAUUGAUUGGGCGUAAAGCGAGCGCAGGCGGUUUCUUAAGUCUGAUGUGAAAGCCCCCGGCUCAACCGGGGAGGGUCAUUGGAAACUGGGAGGCUUGAGUGCAGAAGAGGAGGGUGGAAUUCCAUGUGUAGCGGUAAAAUGCGUAGAUAUAUGGAGGAACACCAGUGGCGAAGGCGGCUCUCUGGUCUGUAACUGACGCUGAGGCUCGAAAGCGUGGGGAGCAAACAGG